rnacentral:rRNA from 1 species
UACGUAGGGGGCUAGCGUUGUUCGGAAUCACUGGGCGUAAAGCGCGCGUAGGCGGCUUUGCAAGUGCGGCGUGAAAGUCCUGGGCUCAACCUGGGGACGGCGCUGCGGACUGCAUGGCUGGAGUCCGGAAGAGGGUGGUGGAAUUCCGAGUGUAGAGGUGAAAUGCGCAGAUAUCAGGAAGAAACGACCCGUGGCGAAGGCGGCUCUCGUGGGACGGUACUGA